rnacentral:lncRNA from 1 species
UUUUUUAUUUGCCACAAUCUCCUUGAUGUACUUUGCAUAUUUGGGUACUUCUUGCAAGAUUUCAACCAAUGGAAUAUUAAUCUGUUCCUGCUUCAAGAUGUCAAGGAACUUUUUAUAUGCAACAUUGUCCUUUACUUUCUGCAAUCUUUGAGGGAAUGGAGGUGGUGGCCUUGCAACCAAUUGUGGUGAUUUCUCAGCUACCACCUCUUCAGCUGAUUUCUCUGGCUCAUUGGCUUUCUCUAAUGUUGAUUCUAUAGUGGAUGGAUGGCCUUUCUUCAAAAGUCACUUGUUUCCUCUUUUUAGGAGGAACUUCUUCUAGUUGUGUUCCACUUCUCAACGACACGGCAUUAACUGGUGCCUUAUGAUUUGCUUGAGUGUCACUUGGAAGAGCUCCAGUUGGUCUAGUGUUUUGAGCACUGGCAAGCUGUCCCAUUUGACGCUCCAAACUUCUCACUGUUGUGGUAAGAGUUUAUUGUUCAAUCAUCAUCGUUUUGGACAUUUCUUCAGGGUGACUUGUAGAACUCUUUUGUUGUUCAACCUGAGGUGGUUUAUAUUGUUGUUGAGGUGUUUGAGGCAUGUAUUGAUUCUGAGGGCCCUGGUUUCUACCCCAAGAGAAGUUUGGGUCCUCCAAUUGGGAUUGUAAGUGUUCACAUAUUGAUUUGGUUGGCCCCUGUUCGAGUUACCCACGAAACAGACAGACUGUGGAUUUGCAAGACAUAUGUCGCUCGUGUGCCCUUCGCCACAUAUUUCAAAAAAAGCUUGAACCUGUUGUACUUGUUGCUUGUUGAUGCCCAAGUUCAUUUGGUUGAAUUUAUUUGUCAGUGCAGAAAUUUGUUCUGAUAAUGCCGAGAUGACAUCUAACUCAAGAACCCCUGCAGAUUUUUGCACUGUGUGUCUGCUACUCUCUCACUGCCAAUCUGGAUUGCUCUUAGAGAAUUUGUUCAACAAUAUAUACAUUUCAUCAAAGCUUUU